AAUUGCACAGCAUAUUCAAUAUGUGGUCUUACCAGUGAUUUAUAAAGAGGCAAAAUUAUAUUCUCGUCCCGAGAAUGAAUGCCCUUUUUCAUGCAUGACAAUACCUUACUGGCCUUGGCCACUGCUGAUUGACAUUGCACAUUGUUGCAUAGUUUGUUGUCUAUAACAAUUCCCAAGUCCUUUUCAUGUGUUGUUAUCCCUAAUUCGCUUCCAUUAAGGGUAUUGCUUGUGUAUUCUUU